UACGGGGGGAGCAAGCGUUGUUCGGAUUUACUGGGCGUAAAGGGCGCGUAGGCGGCGCAACAAGUCACUUGUGAAAUCUCCGGGCUUAACCCGGAGCGGCCAAGUGAUACUGUCGUGCUAGAGUGCGGAAGGGGCUACUGGAAUUCUCGGUGUAGCGGUGAAAUGCGUAGAUAUCAGGAGGAACGCCGGCGGCGAAGGCGACUACCUGGCCUGUUCUUGACGCUGAGGCGCGAAAGCUAGGGGAGCAAACGGG
rnacentral:rRNA from 1 species